rnacentral:rRNA from 1 species
UACAGAGGGUGCAAACGUUGCUCGGAAUUAUUGGGCGUAAAGCGCAUGUAGGCGGCAUAGUAAGUUCGCUGUGAAAGCCCUUGGCUCAACCAAGGAAGUGCAGCGAAAACUGCUAAGCUCGAGUUCUGAAGAGGGUCGCGGAAUGGCCAGUGUAGAGGUGAAAUUCGUAGAUAUUGGCUAGAACACCAGUGGCGAAGGCGGCGACCUGGGAAGAUACUGACGCUGAGAUGCGAAAGCGUGGGGAGCAAACAGGG